rnacentral:rRNA from 1 species
GACAGAGGCCCCAAGCGUUAGGCGGAAUCACUGGGCUUAAAGCGUGUGUAGGCGGAUCGUUAAGUGUCUUGUGAAAUCCCACGGCUCACCCGUGGAACGGCUGGGCAUACUGGCGAUCUUGGGCCAACUAGGGGCAGUCGGAACAAGCGGUGGAGCGGUGAAAUGCGUAGAUAUCCUGAGGAACACCGGUGGCGAAAGCGGCGCGCUGGACCCCUUCUGACGCUGAGGCGCGAAAGCCAGGGGAGCAAACGGG